AUGAACGCUAGCUACAGGCUUAACACAUGCAAGUCGAGGGGCAUCAGGAAGAAAGCUUGCUUUCUUUGCUGGCGACCGGCGCACGGGUGAGUAACACGUAUCCAACCUGCCCUUUACUCGGGGAUAGCCUUUCGAAAGAAAGAUUAAUACCCGAUAGCAUAAUGAUUCCGCAUGGUUUCAUUAUUAAAGGAUUCCGGUAAAGGAUGGGGAUGCGUUCCAUUAGGUUGUUGGUGAGGUAACGGCCCACCAAGCCUUCGAUGGAUAGGGGUUCUGAGAGGAAGGUCCCCCACAUUGGAACUGAGACACGGUCCAAACUCCUACGGGAGGCAGCAGUGAGGAAUAUUGGUCAAUGGGCGCUAGCCUGAACCAACCAAGUAGCGUGAAGGAUGAAGGCUCUAUGGGUCGUAAACUUCUUUUAUAUAAGAAUAAAGUGCAGUAUGUAUACUGUUUUGUAUGUAUUAUAUGAAUAAGGAUUGGCUAACUCCGUGCCAGCAGCCGCGGUAAUACGGAGGAUCCGAGCGUUAUCCGGAUUUAUUGGGUUUAAAGGGAGCGUAGGUGGACUGGUAGGUCAGUUGUGAAAGUUUGCGGCUCAACCGUAAAAUUGCAGUUGAUACUGUCAGUCUUGAGUACAGUAGAGGUGGGCGGAAUUCGUGGUGUAGCGGUGAAAUGCUUAGAUAUCACGAAGAACUCCGAUUGCGAAGGCAGCUCACUGGACUGCAACUGACACUGAUGCUCGAAAGUGUGGGUAUCAAACAGGAUUAGAUACCCUGGUAGUCCACACAGUAAACGAUGAAUACUCGCUGUUUGCGAUAUACAGUAAGCGGCCAAGCGAAAGCAUUAAGUAUUCCACCUGGGGAGUACGCCGGCAACGGUGAAACUCAAAGGAAUUGACGGGGGCCCGCACAAGCGGAGGAACAUGUGGUUUAAUUCGAUGAUACGCGAGGAGCCUUACCCGGGCUUAAAUUGCAGUGGAAUGAUGUGGAAACAUGUCAGUGAGCAAUCACCGCUGUGAAGGUGCUGCAUGGUUGUCGUCAGCUCGUGCCGUGAGGUGUCGGCUUAAGUGCCAUAACGAGCGCAACCCUUAUCUUUAGUUACUAACAGGUUAUGCUGAGGACUCUAGAGAGACUGCCGUCGUAAGAUGUGAGGAAGGUGGGGAUGACGUCAAAUCAGCACGGCCCUUACGUCCGGGGCUACACACGUGUUACAAUGGGGGGUACAGAAGGCAGCUAGCGGGUGACCGUAUGCUAAUCCCAAAAUCCUCUCUCAGUUCGGAUCGAAGUCUGCAACCCGACUUCGUGAAGCUGGAUUCGCUAGUAAUCGCGCAUCAGCCACGGCGCGGUGAAUACGUUCCCGGGCCUUGUACACACCGCCCGUCAAGCCAUGGGAGCCGGGGGUACCUGAAGUACGUAACCGCAAGGAUCGUCCUAGGGUAAAACUGGUGACUGGGGCUAA
rnacentral:rRNA from 1 species